rnacentral:rRNA from 1 species
UUGGGGUAUGUGCACGCUUGUUCUUUGUUAUUUCUCCAACUUGUGCACAUUUUGUAGACCCUGGAGCCUUGUGGAUUUUAAUAUUCCGAGUCGGGACUGCUGUGCUUCCUCUUUGUGAAGUCGGCUUUGCCUUGCAUCUCCAGGUCUAUGUCAUUUAUUUUCACAACCAUGUUUAGAAUGUUGGGAUCAGGUCUUUUUGUACCUAUAAAAAUGAAAUAUACAACUUUCAGCAACGGAUCUCUUGGCUCUCGCAUCGAUGAAGAACGCAGCGAAAUGCGAUAAGUAAUGUGAAUUGCAGAAUUCAGUGAAUCAUCGAAUCUUUGAACGCAUCUUGCGCUCCUUGGUAUUCCGAGGAGCAUGCCUGUUUGAGUGUCAUUCAACUUCUCAGCCACAUUCGUUCAUUUGAUUGUGGCUUGGAUGAUGGGGGUUUUUGUUUGCAGGCUUCUUAAUUAAUCUGAGAGGUCGGCUCCCCUGAAAUGUAUCAGUGGUAUCUGAGGCUAUUGCUAUAGGUGUGAUAAUUAUCUAUGCCCUUGGUUGUGCCGCAUGGAACUGCUUCCAACAAAGAUGAUCUUUUUGAUGAAUUUGACCUCAAAUCAGGUAGGACUACCCGCUGAACUUAAGCAUAUCAAUAA